AUUGAACGCUGGCGGCAUGCUUUACACAUGCAAGUCGAACGGUAACAGGUUAAGCUGACGAGUGGCGAACGGGUGAGUAAUGCAUCGGAACGUGCCCGAUCGUGGGGGAUAACGCAGCGAAAGCUGCGCUAAUACCGCAUACGAUCUGAGGAUGAAAGCGGGGGACCGUAAGGCCGCGCGCGAUCGGAGCGGCCGGUGUCAGAUUAGGUAGUUGGUGGGGUAAAGGCCCACCAAGCCGACGAUCGGUAGCUGGUCUGAGAGGACGACCAGCCACACUGGGACUGAGACACGGCCCAGACGCCUACGGGAGGCAGCAGUGGGGAAUCUUGGACAAUGGGCGAAAGCCUGAUCCAGCAAUGCCGCGUGCAGGAAGAAGGCCUUCGGGUUGUAAACUGCUUUUGUACGGAGCGAAAAGGUCCUUUCUAAUACAAGGGGCUCAUGACGGUACCGUAAGAAUAAGCACCGGCUAACUACGUGCCAGCAGCCGCGGUAAUAC
rnacentral:rRNA from 1 species